CGCUGACACACUCGCCGCUGACGCCGGCGGCGACGACCAGAUCCUGGCCGUCCCCUCCCCUUCCCGUCAGAUCCGUCCAGGUCCAGCGGACGACGGUGACCAUCUCCGGUAGCCGGUAGGUCCUCUCUCCAGCUCACCUUCUCCCACUGCCCCUUCAUGACGCUGCUGCUUUGUCUUGCUGGACUCGCGUGCUCGUGCGUCUCCCCGCGUCAUGGAAGUGUUGCUUUCUCUUGCCGUCGGCGGCCCCGAGUGUGUCGUGCUCGUGGACGGCUCUCGAAUGCGUCCUGAUCGUGGCCGACUCUUGCUGCUAUUUUUGCUGUGUGCCGUGUUGCUACUGUUGCUUGCCGGCCGUUGCGCAUGUCUUGCUCGUGGCCGGCCCUUGCUGCUCAUGGCCUACAAUUUCUGCUAUUGUUUUUUUCUGCCUUGCUGCUCCUGCUGUUGUUUGUUGUUUCCCUAUUGCCGUUUCUUUUAGUUGGCUCAUUUGGAUAAUUGACCCUGAUGAUAUUGUGUGUAGAUAUUGGGUUCACUGAAGAGUUGUUGAGUUAUUGGGUGGGAUUUUCUUACUAGGUUGUUGCAAAGGUACCAGUUCAUUGGUCAAUGUCAAUCGUAUUUUACCCUUCCCCCUGUGGUGGCGCGCUCCUGAGCAGUACAUUUUAUUCACAGUACCCUUCUUUUUGUUCUCAUGUUAGUUUUAAAGUACUUGCAUUUUCCUGUGUUGAUUGCCUUGCCAAUGUGCUGUUUUCUUUGCAGGAAUUGAACCAUGUCACUCGGAAAUCAGAGAGCAGGCAACAAUAGUUUUAGAUUUUAGUGAUUCUGGUAGGCGCAGCUGAACUACAAUACUGAACAGGCUAAUGCUGUUCCAGUUGAUUCUUGAGUUUAUUGCCAUGACAAGAUGCAAUUUGCCUGCAAUCAUCUAAGUUUGUUGUGUCUAACAGUGCCUUAUUUUGUUCAGAAUAUUUACUUACACAUUUUAAUUUUGUUGCAUUGCAUAUUUAACCAUUUCCUGAUCUCCAUAGUAUUGCUAGCUCCUUAGGUGUAAUGUUGCUUAAAAGAUGCCAAAGUCGUAUCUGAAGUUUUUCAUGAUACAAACAUAUAUUUGUUUGUUUGUAGGGUUCAGAUUUUAAGAAUUCCAGUGUGUUGCUGACUAUUUCAAUUUUUUCGGCAAAUUGGACGCUCUUGACUGAUAUUGCUAGCAAGCUGUGAAGCAAAGAUAAUUGUUGGUCUCUACAGGCGAGCCGCCAACAUGAAGAAAUCCUUGCAUGUUUUUUUACCCUUGAAUCAGUUUGCAUUUCACCCUUAUUUUUGGUACAUUGUUCUGCAACAUUUUAUUCCAAUUGUAUGGUGGCUACUUUAAUUGUAAGAGAUGUAUGCUUACAAAGUUUAAUUAUCUUUUUACCAAUAAAAGGGUGAUCGCUUCUUCCUCCUAAA
rnacentral:lncRNA from 1 species